rnacentral:rRNA from 1 species
GGAUCAUUGUCGAAACCUGCAAAGCAGACCGUGAACUCGUGUUUAAUCGCACUGGGGCUGCGGCGCGGCGGGGGGACCCCCCUCCCCGUGCCGUCGGCCCCGACCCCGCUCGGCGGGCUAACGAACCCCGGCGCGGAAUGCGCCAAGGAAAACUGAAAUGAGGCGCCUCGCCCCCUCCACCCCGUUCGCGGUGUGCUCGGGUGGGUGCGAGAGGUGUCUAACGUGUACAAUGUCAAAAUGACUCUCGGCAACGGAUAUCUUGGCUCUCGCAUCGAUGAAGAACGUAGCGAAAUGCGAUACUUGGUGUGAAUUGCAGAAUCCCGUGAAUCAUCGAGUCUUUGAACGCGAGUUGCGCCUGAAGCCAUCAGGCCGAGGGCAUGCCUGCCUGGGCGUCACGCAUCGCGUCGUCCCCCGCUCCCACGGAGCGGCUGCGGGCGGAUAUUGGCCUCCCGUGUGCUUUCCCGCCUGCGGCCGGCCCAGAUGCGAUCCCCCGGCGACGCACGUCGCGACCAGUGGUGGUUGAAUGCUCAACUUGUGUGCUGUUCGUGGCGCCCCAUGUCGUCGUCUGGACGGGCAUCACGAAUGACCCUACCUGCGCGAGGCGCAUCCGACUGCGACCCUAGGU